rnacentral:rRNA from 1 species
AGCGUAGACGGAAUGGCAAGUCUGAUGUGAAAGGCCGGGGCUCAACCCCGGGACUGCAUUGGAAACUGUCAAUCUAGAGUACCGGAGGGGUAAGUGGAAUUCCUAGUGUAGCGGUGAAAUGCGUAGAUAUUAGGAGGAACACCAGUGGCGAAGGCGGCUUACUGGACGGUAACUGACGUUGAGGCUCGAAAGCGUGGGGAGCAAACAG